UACGGAGGGGGCUAGCGUUAUUCGGAAUUACUGGGCGUAAAGCGCACGUAGGCGGCUUUGUAAGUAAGAGGUGAAAGCCCAGGGCUCAACCCUGGAAUUGCCUUCGAUACUGUUUGGCUAGAGACCGGAAGAGGUAAGUGGAACUGCGAGUGUAGAGGUGAAAUUCGUAGAUAUUCGCAAGAACACCAGUGGCGAAGGCGGCUUACUGGUCCGGUUCUGACGCUGAGGCGCGAAAGCGUGGGGAGCAAACAGGG
rnacentral:rRNA from 1 species